UUCCUGUCUAUACAUCCCCCUCCCUUCCCUCAGACUUGUUGCUGGCUUGUCUGAUCUUCAUGCCUCGCUUGUUCCCGUCUCCUGUGCUCCCCCCUUGACCUCCACACCCGAACAGAGGAGUUCGUUUUGAAGUUUCUAGGAGCCUCUAAUGUGGGUAAAAUGCCUUUCCAUACUUGUAAAACGCCGUCAGUCACAGUACUGCUCCAAUUCAAAGUCUGCAUCCAGCCAAGUGUUCUUCCCCUGCCCAUUUUGUCAAGGAUGCUUUGGGAGCUGACUUGUAUGGACUUGGGGCA